rnacentral:lncRNA from 1 species
CGGUGGCUAAUGAUGACAACAGCAACAGCACUGAGCACAGAAAACUCCACAGGCCUGGGCUCGGCUCAUCGCACAGCCUCCAUCUCUGGAUGCCCUGUGAGGGUUCUGUCAUUAUCCACAUUUUAGAGAUGAGGAAACUGAGGCUUAAAAGGGCUAAGUGACCAACCCACUGACACAGCGAUUCGAGCUUAGGCUGGCCCAUCCCAGACCUGGACUGCCCACCUCUCUCCCCUUUCGCAGCCGACCUGGCUGCCAGCUCUCGUCCUUCCUCUGCGGGGUUUGGCUUUUCCCUCCUCUCUUCCCCAGGUGGUCCCGUCCCGGGCACUGCCUCGAGUCUCACGGUGUGCAGGGCCAGGCAGACGAGCUGCUGACUGCAGCUUCGCUGUAAUCUACCGACUCUAACGGCAGCUCAGCUCGCACGGGGCUAGCACAGCGAACACGUGCGCACGGGGAUGGGCGGAGAACCGAGUGACGACAGCAAAGAGCCAGGGGGAGCCAGGAAAAGCUCGAAAAUCAGCGUAACGCUGUUGGAGAUGAGAGGGCACAGCACAAUUUUGAGAGCCAAACAAAGGCGGGGCACAGAGCUGUUGCCUCGAGAUGUGUGGCCUCAGAAGGUCUUGUCGAGGCGAGUGAUGAAAGGGAGGAGGUUCCCGAGGAUACUGGAGCCGGAAGACGCGGCGAGGGUCCGGGAUUCAAGGAGAUUCAAAACCCGUGUCACUGCUGCCAUCUUCCUAGAAUCCCUUUAAAUCCUCAUGGAUUUGCUGACAUUGGGAGCAUCCUGAAAGAGUCCCCAUGCUAGGGUGGCUGCAGUAACAGGUACAAUGAGAAAUGAUGGUUCUCCCCACUCCAGAAAAAAUCAAAUCAGAUUGUGAAUUUAUUCCCUGACAUUAACACACGGCAUUACAGGAGCAUGUACAUCACAUGGUCAAUUUAUUGGCAUGAGGAUUAUGUCAUCGGGGAAUAAAUGGGAAAUUCUCAAGGUGGCCCAGGCCUGUAGGCUUCCAGUGAGAAAACUGGAGACCACACUCACCCGUCCCACUGCCGUUUCUUUGGGGCUGCCUGUGAUACUGGGUUAUUCCCCUUGCCGAGUUCCACUGUGCUUACCCUGUUGGAAUAUGAUGGUGGACUUGCCAGAGGAGAUGACCAUGAUUUUCAGGAACAGCAGCCCCUCCUUCCUGGUUGAGGCAGCCAGCAGGCACUCCUAUCCAUGAGCCACAGCUCAGCUAAGGCAAUCCAGUCCAGCUGCAUGCCCUCUCUCUGCUUCUGGGGAGGUAGGAAGGACCAGGGGCAUUCAUGCUUGUUUCUAGGGGGCCCUAACUGGAUCUCUGGAUCAAGACCUACUCAGGGGAGAAAGACUACUCUGGGUUCCAUGUUAGGACUGACGGGUGCAUCUUAACUGAGAUGCAGACAGUGGACAAUUCGAACUCUGACCUGAGAGCAAGCCCCAGCCUUGGUGCUCAUAAAUGCUCCGCUUGGUCCUUCACAUUUGUGUUCCACACAGGAGAAGCCAAGUUGUGAGCAGUGCACCUUCACAAGCAAAGCCUCGACUGAAAUCUUCUCUAACAAUUGGCUGGUCACUCCUGAGCGUAAUCUACCCCUUCAGAACACUGGGGAUGAAUUUAGAGACAUCGAAGCCUCCUGAUGAGAAAUACGUGUCCACUCACCGGGAGAACUGAAAUACCAGGAGAUUUCUACACAAAUCUCACAGAGUCCUUCUGGCGUCCUAGGGGUUUGCUCACAUAUAAGGGACUUUCUGGUAGGAAGAGAGUCUCUUUACAUUCUUUAUUAUAUGAUCCUGGUGGCUUUGUAGAGAGAUGGUACAGCUGACAGAUCAUGUCCUGUGGGGCCAGGGAGUUGUGUGUGUGUGAAUGCUCUGUGAACUUGGGCAAACUACUUAGCCUCUCUGAGCCUUAGCUGCAUCAGCUUUGAAAAACAGGAUGAUAAAAUGGAGUCACCUUAUUUGACUUUUAUAAAUACACUUACACAAUUACACAAGUUGUGGGGAUGGGAAGAGAGAGUUGGGGAAAGAGAAAUGAGAGAGAGAGAGAGAGAGAAUGAAUGAUAAACAAUUUAAACAACAGUGGGGUGUAGACCAACGCCCAGCCUGGCAAGGGUGAGCCCAGAGAGCCUUCCCUCCUGGCUAUUGGCAGCCUCCGCAUGGAAGCCUGUCGUUGACUUCUUAAUGAUGAGAGAUGUUCUGGGGGCACUCCAGGAUUCUUGGACAUGGGAUCGUCUUCACAGCUGUGUCUAUUGAAAGCUGAAGUUUCAGUCUCCCCUGCCCCCUGCCCCCUGGAGUGGCUUCCCAGGGGAAAUUCAAGGGCACCUGUGACUGCAUGGCUGCUUUCCUUUCCUUUACUCAAUGCCGUCCUUUGGUGACAGCCGUGUCUCAUGCCAGGAUACAUGAGGUGCUCUAUAGUAGUAUGUUUUCCCUCCUGGGAGGUAAUUUUAUUUAAAUGUGAAGUCAAAAGGAUCACUAAAUAGAACCAUGAGGCAACCACUCUGGGCACCUGCCUGGUGAUAUCCACAAGAGCUGACCACAGGUGCCCCCUGUGCCCAGCAAGUCCUUGGCUGGGCAGUCACACAACAGGCAUGGGGAUGUGUGGCCACCAAGCCCUCCAGGGCAGUGCUAUUUGUAAUAGUCCCAAAUGGGAGAGAUGGCAAACGCCCGCCAAUGGGGCAGCAUGGAUAAAUGGAUGCUGCACAGCAACGGCGAUGAGUGAGCCCCAGCACCCGUGAGCUCACCAGUGUAAUAUUGGGUGGAAGAAGCCAGGAGGAAGGGCAUUCACAUUCUGUGAUUCCAGCUACACUAUGUUUAAAUAUGGGCAGAGCUAGGCUGUGGUGCUGGAAGCCAGGACAGUGGGAUCCUUGCAUGGGGGUGAUGGUGCUGGUAGGUUCUGGUAAUUUCCUCUUCUUGAUCUGGGUGUAAACAUUUUGUGAAAAUUCAAUGAGCUGUACAUUUAUGACUGGUACAUUUAUGACUUUGUAUGAAUAUUAUACUUUCAUAAAACUACUUUAAAAUAUGAUUGUGAACCUUUUUUCACCUAUUUUCUGCCAAUUAGCACCGAAUUGCUCACUAACUAAUGAGUGGUGCUGGUUUUGACUUGCUUGCUACACUGUCUUGAGACAGAUAGGGUUUUCUGUGCUUUGUAUGACCCCCUCUGGAACCAGGGUGGGACUGGGAACACUCGGAAAACAUGUGCUGACAGAUGCUGGGCAUCCCCGUGUUGGUGGAGGCAUGCUCAUUCCUCAGCAAAAUACCCAUAUGGGGUGUUGGCAGGAAAGAGGACAGAAAAGGACAAAGUAUUUGUCUCUGCUAGCGUUCCUGGAGCUGUCUCACCUUGGCCAAGCCCCCGCCCAGUCCUCUCCUAACGUGGACAGACUAGGGGGCAGAAACUAGUCAGCCAAAGAAUUUCCAAGCUAGGGGUUGAUGAAUGCUUGGAUAAUUUGCCCAUGAACACGUUGGAUUCUUCUUCACUUGCCAUCACGGGGGGAUAAGUACCCCAGUUUUUUUUUGGAGAGAAUUGAGGGACUGUGCCAUUGCAGUGUGGAUUUCAAGAGAUUUUAAACGGAAGGCAGAGUAACAGUGUGGUUUGGGAAGCUCUAAAGACAGUUGUCCUGGUGCGGUUUCUUCCAUAAAAGAGUGGGGACGCCAUGGACCUGCUCACCAAAUUCCAGUCCCGACACAGUUCUGUGAGGCACUCUCCACAUCAGGGCAGACGGGCAGGAGGAGUUUACACAGCGAUCUGGGGGCCAUUAGAGCACUGAGGGAUCCAUUGCUGUCUCUUGUUUCUGUUUCCCACACUGUGCUGGGUGCUGGGAACAUGACGAUGAACUUGAAGGAAAUAAUGUGUACGGUGGUUCAUUUCCAAGACAUAGUGCCUUGAAUCAGUUUAGGUCAGCAAACUACAGAAGAAACAGGAUAUACUAGGCCCCUGCUUGGAGAGCUGAUGCCUGUUUGUUGCCCCUCACCCCCUUAGUUGCCCUUACCAGAACCAAAGGAGUUUAGUCUAAGAUGAAAGUUUACUAGCCUGCAAAAUAGCUCACUUUGUCUGUUCUUAUCAGCCUGCCCAGCUACUUAGGUCAUAAGUGAAAUACUUGAAGAGCCCCUGAGCUAACUAGGAUUGCAAUGCAUUGUGGCUGCAACAAGAUGCAGCAAGACAACUGUAAAGAAAAUGCCUAAAACCCCUACCCACCAACCCAUAGGCGAUGUCCAGGAAGACUGUGACCUCCAUAGUACUCAGCAUUUGAGGAACUGGGGGAGGGACCUGUGCACUAGGGGAUAAAUUGCUUGUUGAAACUGUGCUGGGUGUGCCUGUCCAUCAGAUACCCUAUCUUGCAAGACUGUCG